rnacentral:rRNA from 1 species
UACGGAGGGGGCUAGCGUUGUUCGGAAUUACUGGGCGUAAAGCGUGCGCAGGCGGUUUGUAAGUCUGACGUGAAAUCCCCGGGCUUAACCUGGGAAUUGCGUUGGAGACUGCAAGGCUGGAGUCUGGCAGAGGGGGGUAGAAUUCCACGUGUAGCAGUGAAAUGCGUAGAGAUGUGGAGGAACACCGAUGGCGAAGGCAGCCCCCUGGGUCAAGACUGACGCUCAUGCACGAAAGGCGUGGGGAGCAAACAGG